rnacentral:rRNA from 1 species
UACGAAGGGGGCUAGCGUUGCUCGGAAUUACUGGGCGUAAAGGGCGCGUAGGCGGAUAGUUUAGUCAGAGGUGAAAGCCCAGGGCUCAACCUUGGAACUGCCUUUGAUACUGGCUAUCUUGAGUUCGGGAGAGGUGAGUGGAAUGCCGAGUGUAGAGGUGAAAUUCGUAGAUAUUCGGCGGAACACCAGUGGCGAAGGCGGACUCACUGGCCCGAUACU